CCAUGUCCUGCAGGUUAGAACAAAGACAAGGAAAAAAACAUGGAGAAUGUAUGAUAUGAGAUACUCUUGCUUUCAACCUUUAUGAUAUGAAAUACUUUUGCUCUGGAUGGGUUGUUUGCAGGGGUAUCCCAGGGAAUGAGAAAUACAGAGUGACUUGAGAGGGUGUGUUGGAAAUACAUUCUCGGAGAUGAAGAAGUGCUGAGAGGGUGUGCCUUUGCUGUGGAAGG
rnacentral:lncRNA from 1 species